rnacentral:rRNA from 1 species
AUUGAACGCUGGCGGCAUGCCUUACACAUGCAAGUCGAACGGUAACGGGCCUUCGGGUGCCGACGAGUGGCGCACGGGUGAGUAAUACAUCGGAACGUGCCCGAUCGUGGGGGAUAACGAGGCGAAAGCUUUGCUAAUACCGCAUACGAUCUACGGAUGAAAGCAGGGGACCGCAAGGCCUUGCGCGGACGGAGCGGCCGAUGGCAGAUUAGGUAGUUGGUGGGAUAAAAGCUUACCAAGCCGACGAUCUGUAGCUGGUCUGAGAGGAUGAUCAGCCACACUGGGACUGAGACGCGGCCCAGACUCCUACGGGAGGCAGCAGUGGGGAAUUUUGGACAAUGGGCGCAAGCCUGAUCCAGCCAUGCCGCGUGCAGGAUGAAGGCCUUCGGGUUGUAAACUGCUUUUGUACGGAACGAAAAGCCUUCUUUUAAUACAGGAGGGUCAUGACGGUACCGUAAGAAUAAGCACCGGCUAACUACGUG